CCAAAAAUUAUUUCCAGCCUUCCAUUUCUGGAAAACCGAAUUCUCUCUCUCUUGCGUGCUCCGGCCGAGUUCUCCACCCUCCGGCCACCAAUCAACGCCAAAACACCUCCCUUGCCUUCGCCUCGACGCCGCCUACCUGCUAGACUUGACCGUUUCCACCGGAACGGCCUCAAAUCCGGCAGAUCGGAGCUGCAAACUUUGAACCAAAAACGGUCAACCCCGGUUUUCUCCUAACUCCGGCCACCAAAACUUCUGAUCCUUGGCUCUAUGAACUCGCCUCAACCUACUGAUCAUCAUACCAGAAGGAUCGCACCUGGAGUGACCGGAUUCACGUUCGUCGGAGCUCGACCCGUUUUCGAUCGAAAACCAAAACCUUCCGAUCGUGAUAUCUCGAGCUGUAGUGCAUCGUUUUAAUUGAUUCUUGAACCAGUGAGUUCGCCUUGAUUUUCUUAACAACUCUCUAGAAGGAAUCGAGGCCUGAAAUUGAAGUUUUUACGUCGAAAUCAUAGCUCGCCGGUUUCUGCAUUUCUUCGCCGGUUUCUGGAAAAUUUCCGGCCAAAUUCAACUGUUCUAGGUGAUCGACGGAUUGAUUUGGCGAACGAUUCGUGAAACCGUUGUUUGAGCUGUUAAGAAGACGCAGCUGGAUUAGAGCGGGUAAUCCUACAGGACAGGAGAAUCAGGAAGGUGAUUGAGCUGUGUAGAGUAGCUGCUUGUGAUACUCUGAAUUCUUAUUGUGAGGUUGUUAUGCUCAUUUGAGCUUACAUUUAAAUUUGGAGAGAGUGUGCUGUAAUAAUAAACUGUUGAGGAUUUGGUUUAUUGUAUAAAUGAGAGGUGUGAAGUGUGGUUGUUGUGAGAAAAAAAUUCAGAACGUUUAUUUGAUUAAGUUGUUUAAUUCAUGUUUCGAAUUUGAAUUUAUUGUUCAAAAUUCGGGGCGUGACAGUCCAUAUAUAUAUCUCUUCCAACAAUCUUGAAGGUCCCAUCCCAGAUGUCUUCACAAGUAUGCUUUCUCUAGUAACACUAGAUCUCUCUUCCAAUCAACUUGAAGGUGGGAUAUCAAAAGGCUUUCAAAACUUAUGCAGCUUAGAGUCGUUGACCUUACUAUCAAACCAAUUGGCUGAAAACAUUGAGGACUCUGUUGAAACCUUUUCUUGUGCUGAGAACACACUUGACACCUUGGACUUCAGUGAUAAUCUGUUUUGGGGGUCUGUUUGGACCCAAAAUGAACAUUUUGGCUUGACAAAGCACGUCUUGGAGAAAUUGAGCCAAUAUCAGUGGCUCA